rnacentral:rRNA from 1 species
AUGCUACAAUGCAGCGUCGAUUGUGAUGGAGACCACGGCGCUGCACUUGCGCGAUGGCGGAAGAUGCUGCAAUGCCAUGUGAAUCGUCGUGGUGACCACGGCACUGCAACUCGCAUACCUCGUCGUCCUUCAACAGUGAACGUUGCAACCGAAGGAUCCCGCCCGGGGAUGCAAUGGAGCACUGCCCGUGUCGUUGAAGCUGUGGUGGGGCUGCAAUGGAGCGUCACCGAAGCUGCAAUGGAGCUUCACCGGGCGUCGGGGCUGCAAUGGAGCACUGCCGGUGUCGUUGAAGCUGUGGUGGGGCUGCAAUGGUGUUUGACCGGGGCGUCAUCGGUGUUGCGUUGA